AUAAAAAAGGGAAAAGCUAAAAAAGAGACAUUUAUUUACUGAGGUGUAAAACAGGUAUUGUAAUCAUAUUUAUACAAGAUAAGCCAGGCUUAAUUAUAUAUCGUAAUUUUGUACUUUAAGUAUGUAUCUGAGUUUUCUACUUUUUUUUCUUUAAUUUUUUUUUCUUUAAAAGCAUGGCAGAUUUGAAUUCCAACAGAAUCUUGUUUUUAGGAAUAUGUUCAAUCAUUUUAAAAAAUACUGAUUUUUUUUUUUUGUAAAUAAUAGUUGAUAAGGUAUGUUUGUUAUCAUAUAGAUGUGGCAAAUAGAUUUUGCCUUUUGGCAAUUAGUCACAUUUAACAGGUAGCUUUAGAGAAACAACAUGUACAUAAGAACAGAUCAUUUUAUUAAAUGUUUCCUUUUUUCUCCAAAUUUUGCAGAUUUUCAAAACACAAAUUUCAGCUUUAUUGUAUUGAACGUCAAUGGAGAGACAUUGGUGCUAAAGUUAUUGACUUGUUAAGUUUUGCAGUUGCCAUGUAUAUGUAUUUCAAAACAUUCCUAUUGGUGUAUUGUUGCUCAGACUUUUACAUACGCAGUAAGCUUUUAGUAUUACGCAUGUUCUGUUAAUAGAAUGAUAGUGUGUCAUAUGUGAUGUGUUUUCAUCAAGGUUGAUGAUUGCAUAACUGGUAUAGCUGGAUUACUGUACAAAAAUAUUUGCCAAAUGCUUUUGACCAUUGUAUUCUGUGAUGUAAAAAUUUCCAUACAUUAUUCAUUGCACAAAUUCUCACAGUAGAUUACCAAACUUAUUUUUUGUUUCAUUCCUGAAUUCUAGCAAAUUUUAACAUGAUUUACAAUAACAGUUGAAAAUAAAGCACGAGCCUUUGUAUACGAUUUAAGGUUCAUCGAUACUCUGAUAAGAGAGAUAACUCUUAAUGAAAUUUAUGGCUUUAAUUCCUUCAUAAAUUUGUCAAGUUGAAAUAUCCAUUUUGUCCAAUUUUGCUAUGCACACUAUGCUGUGUAUUUUGCUUAAAAAAGACUUCUUUUAGAAAAAAAAAAUAAGCGUUAAAUCAACAUUUUAUAUCAGUGAGCAGAGGGUUUAUGAACCUUAAGCAAUAUAUCCACCUAAUACUUGUACAAGUCUGUAGUUAUCAUAAGGAAGCCACAUGUGUAAAUUUUCAUGUUUUCAAUGACUGAUUUCCAUUUGUGAGACUUGUUUUAUGUUUACCAAAUCUCUGUAUAUCUCAGUAUUUUACAUUAUCCCAUACAUACCGGUAAUUUCAAGGGACACAAUUUAUGUUUUGCACAACUGACGUUUAAUGUAUUACGAAGUUUUAUUUUUCAAUCCUACAAAUUUCAAAGUCGUGAAAAGUCAAAAGUUUGUUUUGUUUUUUGGGAAAUAUUUAUUCAUUUUACAGAUUUUUUAUUCACAUAUAUUAUUAUGGUCCACAAAUUUAAUACAGUUGAUGUUUCAUGUAAGUAAUAUAACUUCACCAAGAAGUGUAUGGAUCCUUCAUACAAAGAAAAAAGAGUUCUUUUUUCAGAAGUAUUUAAACUCAAACUGACUGGAGCAGUAUUAGAAAUAUUACAAGUUUAUACUUCAGGAUACAAAAAUGUUUCCAUCCUAUGAAAGCGCAUUCCAUGUCGAACAUUUUACUUAAUUUCCGUGUUCUAUAUAUUUGUUGAUGUUCAUGCUUCAAUGUAUCAUACUGUUAUUUUAUGAACAUUUUAUUAGUAUAAUUUGUUGCACAGAAAUAUAUAUAAUAUAUAAAUAUAUAUGUGUGUAUGUCUAUUUGAUUAUUUUUCUCUUUAAUCAGUGACAAUGAAAUCCAUGAUGUUGUAUUAUUACGAGACACAUUGUUCCCAAGUGGGGAGAAUGUCUUACAUAUGUUUGUAUACUUAUAAUCAUGUCAAAGUUUUCAUAUAGGACAGUCCUCAUUGUUCAUGCCUGUAGAGUAUUGUGAUUUAUAAAGAAUGAGGGCAAAUGUCCACUUAGUUUGGGCUGACCUUCUCUAUGAAUCUGUGGUCAGUGUCACAGUCAACAAUUUUCAUCUGGUCAGCCAUAUUUUUUUCUUUUUACUAUCAACUUGUAAUGAAUUUUCUUUACCUUGUUUUUUUUAUUUUACAAUAUAACAUACCUGUAAUAAACUUAUCAACACUGAGUAUUUUUCUUACUUACACUUAGUAUUAAUGAUGUUAAAAGUUAUUAUUGUUUUCUGGUCAUUAUGACUUAAUUUAGUGGGACAGUAUUUUGAAUCUAUAUAAUAUUUAUUUAAUUAUGCUUAAAUAUGGCAUACAUUUUUUUUCUUCAAACAUACUAUAUAUAUUUUUCAUCUUCUAUAUUGUAUACUAGAUCAAAAUUGUGGGAAACUAACUGGUUUACUUAUAAUUAAAAAUGUUUGCUUUAAUUAAGUUAUAUUUUACUUCACAGUUUGUAGAAAUAUUAUUUAUCAAUUUCAUAAUUCUAACAAAUGGAAUAUUUCAUUGUUCUUUAAAUACAGAAUUGUUGCCUGUGUGCAAUGCUAUAUCCAAUUCUUUAAGGCUGGUUGUCAUUCAUUUCAGACUCUGUUUUCAUAUAUGGUACAUGUAUAAUAUAAACUGGUGGUGUAUGAAUAGAAGUAACGGCUGGUCACCAGCUAAGUGUGCCUUAAUAAACCAAACAAACCUUA